rnacentral:lncRNA from 1 species
CAAAGAAUUAGAAUUUCUAGUAAAUUCUCAAAUCUUAGAGCCUCAAAUCUUAGGCUACUAUUUGGUACAAGAUCUGAUAAGUAAUCUAUUUGAUUUAUAAUACAUUUAAUACUCAUUAAUUCAAAUUUACAAAUUAACUUACAAAGUUAUGUCCAAAGGGAGACUACUUAAGCAUUGAAAUUCACACCCACAUUUGUUUCCCUCAUGACUUAACAAUAUCCCAAACUAGAAGAAUACACAAAUCUCGUUCACCAGUGGCACAAAGAGACUCAUGUGAGAAACUGGAAGAAAUAGCUGCUUAGAGUUCGCGUGAAGGGCUCCCUCAACACCAAACCAGACCGAGCCAACUGCCAGGCUCACGGAGCGCUCCAAACACGCUCCCUGGAGAAAACAUCUCAUCAAGCGCCAGGGGACAUAGUUCGUCUUCCUGCCAAUAUCCCCACUGAGACCACUUUCAACUUUAAGAUGGCAGACACCCAGGGAACACUUCGUCACCGGAUAACCCCGGCGGCUCCUUAUCCAUGGCUCUUUGGACGCUUGCUAUUCAAUUUCAUUUCUGUUUGCAAACGAGAGAGUGAUUUCAACGAGCUCCUCUCUGCUCUGUAACGUCUUCAGAGGAGAAAAGAAAAUCCUCACACCUCCUACCCCGCUUCCCCCCUCCCCUCGCUCCCCAACAGGCUCAGGCUUCGACGGAACUGCGUCCGCCUUCUAAGUCCUGGGAGGCAACUGCUUCAUCAAAUGCGUUACAACCGCAUAGCAUCAGUCCCACGUUCACCGCCUGCCGUAGGAGUGUCUUCACCGCUUGGCACUUGAGCUUUAAGUAAAGGCUGACGAUUAAUUUUUCUGUUAUGAGAAAUC